CGCCACGCUGAUUGGCAGCGCGGAGCGGGGAACAUGGCAGCUGCAGCCGAGCGACCGCCGCUGAUUGGGUCGUGGCCGGGCGCCUGGCAGAGGAUACCCUGGGAAGAACUUUGGGGCUCAGAGUGUUGCGCUUUGGGGAGCUGUUUCUGAAAACAGAGUGGUGGCGGAAAAAGAAAAGCAAAGAAAAGUUUUUCUUGCACCCAGGCUGGAGAGAGAAGGCAGGAGUUCUCGUUCCCUCGUUUUUCAGGUCCCUCCCCAGAGACCCGAAGAGAUAGGCCUGAAGGAGAAUGGACUUGGGGUGUGAAACUUGCCUGUGUUUCUGGAGCACACAUCUAUCCAGGACCCCAAGUUCCUUCUAGCUGCCAAAUGCUCCAUUAGUUCUGAAAUGUAAAUGAUCUCAGCUCCAAAAUAAAGUGGCUAGACUAUCC
rnacentral:lncRNA from 1 species